rnacentral:rRNA from 1 species
AUUGAACGCUGGCGGCAGGCCUAACACAUGCAAGUCGAGCGGAUGAAGGGAGCUUGCUCCCUGAUUUAGCGGCGGACGGGUGAGUAAUGCCUAGGAAUCUGCCUGGUAGUGGGGGAUAACGUUCCGAAAGGAACGCUAAUACCGCAUACGUCCUACGGGAGAAAGCAGGGGACCUUCGGGCCUCGCGCUAUCAGAUGAGCCUAGGUCGGAUUAGCUAGUUGGUGAGGUAAUAGCUCACCAAGGCGACGAUCCGUAACUGGUCUGAGAGGAUGAUCAGUCACACUGGAACUGAGACACGGUCCAGACUCCUACGGGAGGCAGCAGUGGGGAAUAUUGGACAAUGGGCGAAAGCCUGAUCCAGCCAUGCCGCGUGUGUGAAGAAGGUCUUCGGAUUGUAAAGCACUUUAAGUUGGGAGGAAGGGCAGUAAGCUAAUACCUUGCUGUUUUGACGUUACCGACAGAAUAAGCACCGGCUAACUUCGUGCCAGCCGCCGCCGUAAGAC